AGCUGUUGCCUGAACGCCGGAGCGCUCCCCUCUCGCCGCUUGCCUCGCCCAGCGCAGCCCCGGCCGCCGGGCGCACCCGUCCCGUUCGUCCCCGGACGUUGCUCUCUGCCCCGGGAACGUCGAGACUGGAGCGCCCGAACUGAGCCACCUUCGUGGACCCCGAGCGCGGCGGCCCGACUCACCGCGGAGGCGCCCGGAGGCGUAAAGUGCGUACUUUCAACCGUAAAUGUGUGUUGAGGCUUUUAGGGGUGCGGGGCAACUCCCAAACUACGUGGGGCCCUGGCCAGCUCUGGCCAGCCCUGCCGCCGCGUCCAAGACCUUCUGAUACCUCGCUGCGCUUGGCGCGGGGUCGGCGACUUGGGCUCCGGAGCCGCGGGGCGGCGGGGCGGGGCAGUGCCUUGACCUAGGUCCCCAUAGGCCGGCAGCAGGUCUCCCUUCGCCUUGGGCCGCUGUGUCCCCCGGGGCAAGGCCUGGGUCAGGUUGCAGCGGUUUGUCCCCGGUUUGGAGAGCUGAGCUGCCUAGGACGCUUUCGCAGUCGCGGGGUCUUGUCUGGAGCGGCGGGGCUUGAGCCAGAGUCCGAGACUGCCGCCACCGCCUGCGUCCCGUGCGCCUGCCGCCCAGGUACCAGCUGCCUAAGUUCUCGGACAGAGACAGCGCUUGCUCCCAGGGCCGAGGUAGGAGCUGGCUGGGCCCUACAGGGUGCGGGCGAAUCGCUUUCGGCAGCGAAGGAACAAGUUGGGAGAAGUCAACUGCAGGACAAGGGCCCCAGCGGGCGCGCAAAUAGGCACCCGCCUUGGGCAUAUGUCUUCCCCUCCGGUUUGCUUUUGGGGCCCUGGUAAGACCCUCUGCCGCGUGAGCUCCCCACAAGACCUGUGUCUUCCUGCAGGUCAAGCCCUUGAGUGUGCGUGGAGGACGCGAGGGGGGCACUGUGUGUGUUCCCUUUUCCCUCUCUCCAGUCGGGCGAUUCCUGUGCUGUCUGGGGCAGGGGGCACACACCCGGGAACCUCCUACCUACGGGGAGCCAGCCUGCUUUCUCCUCUUCUUAGUGCCCCCAAACUGCCCCUUGCCACCUGAGUAGGGGUCUUUCUGGUGGGCUGUCCAAUCCUCCGUUAGCCAAACCUGUUUGGGGGAUACACUUGCCUGCCCCCACUGUGGCAGAGCACCUCAGAGUUAGCAGAUCCCCCCUUCUCUGCUCCCUUUUCUUCGGAGGGAGAAGUAGAGAGAGGCCUACUCGGCAGGCCUUUGAGAAGAUAUUGGGGGGACUUCUGAGGUUGCUUUCUCCUGGGCAGGGACAGGGGGAUGUCGGGGGUUCCAGAUUUUGUUGGACAAUCUCUCAAGCCCUGACUCCUUGGUUUCUGGGAGGUGCCAGUGUCGGGCUUGUGUCCUGCUCUGCCUACACAGCCCUCAGGGUGGGGACAUGGGGUGGUUCCCCAUGACCCCUUCCCACAGUCAGUUUCAGAAAAUGAAUAAGCUGCCUUGGGCUGGGAGAGCCUUUCUGUGCUGCCUGGGAUCUGCUGGGGUGGGGUGUGUGUGUGUGUGUGUGUGUGUGUGUGUGCACACAUGUGGGUGUGUGUUGUGUGCAUUUGCCUGUGAGUGCGUGUGUGCUUGAGUGGAAGGCAUGGUCUGGGCAGAUGUAAGACGGGUCCCUCUGGGGGCCCAGCCCAAGCGGUAGCAGCAGCAGGCCCAUGCUCUUCUAGCCUUGGGCACGCUCAGGAGAGCAACGCUUGUUCUUAGGGCUGUCACUUGUUCUGGCUGAUCUGUUGCUGUUUCUUGGGCAGACAGACUACAUUCCACACCUCAGGAUUCCAGAACAUUGGACAAGGCGCUCAGGCCCAUCUGGCUCCCACAGCCUGUUGUGCAGUAGCCCUCCGCGCUCCCUGCAGGACCUUCUGAGGCUGCAAAGAGGAGGUGGUCCAGCCCCCACACCUGGAGAAGAGACUUGGAGAACUACAGCUCUCCGUCCUCCCUCAGCUGUCCUCCACCGCUGCAGCCUGGACAGCAGCUGUGUGUCACCGCUGGUUUCCGUGUCUGCCGCCCACUCCAGACCUGCCCCUCCCAGGCUGGCCAAGCCAGGAUCCUCUGCAGUGACAAACCGGAACCAGCGCCAGGGAGACGCCCAAUAAACCUUUGUGAAAUGAGUAAAUCA